rnacentral:rRNA from 1 species
AAUGCCUGAUAGUCUCUACGGAGUAAAUGGUGCCUUCGGGUAUCGCUAGAGGAUGGGCUCGCGGCCUAUCAGCUUGUUGGUGAGGUAAAGGCUCACCAAGGCGCCCACGGGUAGCUGGUCUGAGAGGACGAUCAGCAACACUGGAACUGAGACACGGUCCAGACACCUACGGGUGGCAGCAGUCGAGAAUCAUUCACAAUGGAGGCAACUCUGAUGGUGCAACGCCGCGUGGAGGAUGACGGUCC